GAUGAACGCUGGCGGCGUGCCUAAUACAUGCAAGUCGAGCGAACCGACGAGGAGCUUGCUCCUCUGACGUUAGCGGCGGACGGGUGAGUAACACGUGGAUAACCUACCUAUAAGACUGGGAUAACUUCGGGAAACCGGAGCUAAUACCGGAUAAUAUAUUGAACCGCAUGGUUCAAUAGUGAAAGACGGUUUUGCUGUCACUUAUAGAUGGAUCCGCGCCGGAUUAGCUAGUUGGUAAGGAAACGGCUUACCAAGGCAACGAUGCGUAGCCGACCUGAGAGGGUGAUCGCACACACGGGAACUGAGACACGGUCCAGACUCCUACGGUAGGAAGCAGUAGGGAAUCUUCCGCAAUGGGCGAAAGCCUGACAGAGCAACGCCGCGUGAGUGAUGAAGGUCUUCGGAUCGUAAAACUCUGUUAUUAGGAAAGAACAAAAGUGUAAGUACCUAUGCACGUCUUGACGGUACCUAAACAGAAAGCCACGGCUAACUACGUG
rnacentral:rRNA from 1 species